AACGAACGCUGGCGGCAUGCCUAACACAUGCAAGUCGAACGAGACCUUCGGGUCUAGUGGCGCACGGGUGCGUAACGCGUGGGAACCUGCCCUUAGGUUCGGAAUAACUCCCCGAAAGGGGUGCUAAUACCGGAUAAUGUCUUCGGACCAAAGAUUUAUCGCCCUUGGAUGGGCCCGCGUUGGAUUAGCUAGUUGGUAGGGUAAAAGCCUACCAAGGCGACGAUCCAUAGCUGGUCUGAGAGGAUGAUCAGCCACACUGGGACUGAGACACGGCCCAGACUCCUACGGGAGGCAGCAGUGGGGAAUAUUGGACGAGGGGCGAAAGCCUGACCCAGCAAUGCCGCGUGAGUGAUGAAGGCCUUAGGGUUGUAAAGCUCUUUUACCCGGGAGGAUAAUGACAGUACCGGGAGAAUAAGCGCCGGCUAACUCCGUG
rnacentral:rRNA from 1 species